rnacentral:lncRNA from 1 species
UAAGUGAGCCUCGCUCCACCACCUCAUCAUGGCUUACCUGGUCGUAUACAAUUGGAGUUACCGAAAGGGUUGAUUAAUAACAUUGCAUUUCUUGGUAGACCAUUAUUAGCCCAGUAGGCCUACUCUCCCUCUACAGGACCUAAAAGCCUAGCAUACCUCUCAGAUUGUGCUCCGUAGGCUUGUAAAGUAUGUAGAGGCUAGGUUUAUUUAUUUCACUUUAAUUUCAGUCAAUUCCUUUGGUCCAGCAGAAUCAAACAAAAGGAAAAUAAUCUAAUGACACUGGAUUUUCGUACCUAGUCAUUAUGUAUGUCUAUAGGACUCUCCAAAUAUUUUCUCAUAAUGGCUAUUGUUAAAAUAUCAUCAUAUUUAAUGUGUAGUUAAUAGCCAGAAGCAUUUACACAUAGUUACGUGACAUAUUCACUAUGCUAAAUUAGUAGCGUGGAAUUAAUAUCAUCAAUUGUUACAUGAUUAUAACUUGAAAAUACAUGUACCUAAUGAACUAGUAGUUCAAAAAUGAACCGGUAGUUCAGACAUGAACCCGUAGUUCAUGUAUAAAUCGAUCUUCUAGUUUCGAUAAUAAUCCCCUUAAGAAACUUGAAGUUUCAUUUCAAAUUCAUCAGACAUGAUAAAAUCGGUAGCUUUAUCAUGUUAAUUGGUAGUCUCCAGAAGAAACAAUUUGAACUAGACAUCUUC